rnacentral:rRNA from 1 species
AUUGAACGCUGGCGGCAGGCUUAACACAUGCAAGUCGAACGAGUGGCGGACUGGUGAGUAAUGCUUGGGAAUCUGGCUUAUGGAGGGGGAUAACGACGGGAAACUGUCGCUAAUACCGCGUACCAUCGGAUGAGCCCAAGUGGGAUUAGGUAGUUGGUGGGGUAAUGGCCUACCAAGCCGACGAUCUCUAGCGUGUCUGAGAGGAUGACCAGCCACACCGGGACUGAGACACGGCCCUGACUCCUACGCGAGGCAGCAGUGGGGAAUAUUGCGCAAUGGGUGGAACCUGACGCAGCCAUGCCGCGUGAAUGAAGAAGUCCUUCGGGUUUUAAAGUUCUUUCGGUGACGAAGCGUUAAAUACAGAAGAAGCAGCGGCUAACUCCGUGCGAGCAGCCGCGGUAAUUC